rnacentral:rRNA from 1 species
AUACGGAAGGUCCGGGCGUUAUCCGGAUUUAUUGGGUUUAAAGGGUGCGUAGGCGGAUGAUUAAGCGUGAGGUGAAAUGCCACUGCUCAACAGUGGAACUGCCUCGCGAACUGGUUGUCUUGAAUGCACCUGCCGUGGGAGGAAUGUGUGGCGUAGCGGCGAAAUGCAUAGAGCUCACAGAGAACACCGAUUGCGAAGGCAUCUCACGAAGGAGUGAUUGACGCUGAGGCACGAAAUCGUGGGGAUCAAACAGGAUUAGAUACCCUGGUAGUCCACGCAGUAAACGAUGAUAACUAACCGCUGGGUCGUAGUGAUUCAGUGGCCAAGCGAAAGCGAUAAGUUAUCCACCUGGGGAGUACGACCGCAAGGUUGAAACUCAAAGGAAUUGACGGUG